GACAGAGGUGCCGAGCGUUAGGCGGAAUCACUAGGCUUAAAGCGUGUGUAGGCGGACUUCUAAGUACCUUGUGAAAUCCCACGGCUCAACCGUGGAACUGCUUGGUAUACUGGUUGUCUUGAGCCACUUAGGGGCAGUCGGAACAGACGGUGGAGCGGUGAAAUGCGUAGAUAUCGUCUGGAACGCCAAAGGUGAAAACAGACUGCUGGGAGUGUGCUGACGCUGAGACACGAAAGCCAGGGGAGCAAACGGG
rnacentral:rRNA from 1 species